rnacentral:rRNA from 1 species
UACGUAGGGUGCAGGCGUUAAUCGGAAUUACUGGGCGUAAAGCGUGCGCAGGCGGUUUCUUAAGUCAGAUGUGAAAGCCCCGGGCUUAACCUGGGAACUGCGUUUGAAACUGGGAGACUUGAGUGUGGCAGAGGGGGGUGGAAUUCCACGUGUAGCAGUGAAAUGCGUAGAUAUGUGGAGGAACACCGAUGGCGAAGGCAGCCCCCUGGGUUAACACUGACGCUCAUGCACGAAGGCGUGGGGAGCAAACAGG